GGGGAAUAUUGGACAAUGGGCGCAAGCCUGAUCCAGCCAUGCCGCGUGUGUGAUGAAGGCCUUAGGGUUGUAAAGCACUUUUGUCCGGGAAGAUAAUGACUGUACCGGAAGAAUAAGCCCCGGCUAACUUCGUGCCAGCAGCCGCGGUAAUACGAAGGGGGCUAGCGUUGCUCGGAAUCACUGGGCGUAAAGGGCGCGUAGGCGGACUUUUAAGUCGGGGGUGAAAGCCCAGGGCUCAACCCUGGAAUUGCCUUCGAUACUGAGAGUCUUGAGUUCGGAAGAGGUUGGUGGAACUGCGAGUGUAGAGGUGAAAUUCGUAGAUAUUCGCAAGAACACCAGUGGCGAAGGCGGCCAACUGGUCCGAUACUGACGCUGAGGCGCGAAAGCGUGGGGAGCAAAC
rnacentral:rRNA from 1 species